AUUGAACGCUGGCGGCAGGCCUAACACAUGCAAGUCGAACGAGUGGCGGACGGGUGAGUAAUGUCUGGGAAACUGCCUGAUGGAGGGGGAUAACUACUGGACACGGUAGCUAAUACCGCAUCCCAUCAGAUGUGCCCAGAUGGGAUUAGCUUGUUGGUGGGGUAAUGGCUCACCAAGGCGACGAUCCCUAGCUGGUCUGAGAGGAUGACCAGCCACACUGGAACUGAGACACGGUCCAGACUCCGACGGGAGGAAGCAGUGGGGAAGAUUGCACAAUGGGCGCAAGCCUGAUGCAGCCAUGCCGCGUGUGUGAAGAAGGCCUUCGGGUUGUAAAGCACUUUCAGCGAGGGGGCGUUACCCGCAGAAGAAGCACCGGCUAACUCCGUGCCAGCAGCCGCGGUAAUAC
rnacentral:rRNA from 1 species